UCGAGUUCUCCUCCUCCCAUAUUUCUUCUCUUCUAAAUCUAAACCUAAAUUUGCGAAAUCAAAUCGACGUUCUUAGAAAUCAAAACCCAUUUCUCAUGAAUCUAAUCAAAUCUCAUUAAUCAAAACUUAUCUCGGAAAUCAAACCUAAUCUUUCAAUCACUCAAGAAAUCGUUUUCAUCUGUAAAGUCAAAUGUUUCUGUAAGGUUUGUUUGGUUCAACUCCUUCUAUAGUGAUGAAUUGAUAGAUCCUGCAAGUUUUGUGGUCACGUGGUGUUGAUGAUUUUGAUGGGGGAACUGGUAUGGUGGUAGCAGGUGUUGGUAGUUUGGUUGGUGAGAAUUUUCGGUUUAGUUGGUGGUGGUGCCUCAUUUUAAUAGUGUUUUUGUAUGAAGCUCUAGAUUUGCUAUGAGAAUGGCCAGUACAUCAGGACACCACCAGUGCCUUUCACUUCAUCUGGAAGGGCUACUAGGUGCUGGAUCGGUUCUCUUUAAACAAAUAUUGAAAAAUUACUUCUUGUCAAGGUGUGCAAUGAAAUCUUAUGGGUUGUGUCAAAGACGGAGGUUGAUAGCCUUAAGGCUCGCCCUUGUGUUGAUUUCUCUUCCAUUUUUAGUAAGGUCCAACCCAUUGUUGAUCAUGUAUGCAAUAGAGGCGACGCUGCAGUUUCAGAGUUGGUGCUUCUUCCCACUGUGACAGUUGUGUGCAUCUCUCUCAUUUGGUGGUGGUUGAAAGUAUUGAGGGGAAACUCUCAAGAUUGAGAAGAAUGGAGAUAGAUUAUGCCAGUGGUAGAACCUUUAUUGAUACAGAUGGAUUCUGCUGAAUCUUCCAACACUCAGGAGUAUUGUUCAAUAAUUGGAGAUCAUCUGGGCACUGCGUGAUUGAGCUAUUUUCACUAGUAUAACUCGUAUGCUAUCAACGGUGAUACAAGGUAUGGGUUCAGCAGACACGGACAAUACAAUGAAGCUGAUACAUAUGAAACGCUCAGAGAUAGAGGCAACCGACUGUUACUUCAAAAUAUCUUACCGAGGAAAUGUGAAAUAAGGCAACCGUAAUGGUUCUAUAUCAUCUCUACUUCACAGUGAAAGUGAUGAUUUUUCCAAUUGUAAAGGUAUUCUGCCCGCAUUCUAAAUUUCUAAUUCUAAUGGAUGAACUUAGGUUUCCUAUUAACUGGACACUACAGAUGGUUGAGAGUGUUUCCGCUGACAUGAAAACCCACAAGUACUGGGACUUGCGUAUGGACGCUAAUAUAUGCACUAGUUACUAUUUUUUUUCCUCGUAAACCAUUUUUUUGCCACAACAUCUUGAUCUGUGAUGUUUCCAGUACAUGCACUACCAGGAUAAAGUAAUGAACUGCGGUUGGAAAAGUCUUACCAUAGUUCUUUAGGUCCAAGAUACUGCAUCUCGAGGUGUUGCAUGGUUUAUGUACUGAAGUUGUUUUCUUGGCAAAGUUUUUAAUUUCUGAUAUGCUUUUAGGCAAUGCAUGCUGCUCCGAUUUACAUCGGUGAGACUUAGUGGCGGAUUCAAUGUAUAAGAAGGGUGUUGUGCACUUGCUACCCCUUCCCAUUGGACCUCCAAGCCUAAAUUUCCACGUCUAGUUUUUCCUCCAAGCCUAAUAUUGCUUUCCUGCUACCCCUCACAAAUCUUUGCUUCCCGGUGGUCUAGUUUUUGGCUUCGCCGCUGAUGAGACUGCAGCAAAUUAGAUAUGAGGACGGCUGAUUUCUCUUAGAGAACUCUUUUUAGAGGAAUGCUUGACUUUCGAUUGAACUGGAGA